rnacentral:misc_RNA from 1 species
UACGAAGGGGGCGAGCGUUGUUCGGAAUCACUGGGCUUAAAGCGUGCGUAGGCGGAUUUGCAAGUCAGGAGUGAAAUCCAGGGGCUUAACCCCUGAACUGCUUUUGAAACUGCAUGUCUAGAAUCCUGGAGAGGUUGGGGGAAUUCCGAGUGUAGAGGUGAAAUUCGCAGAUAUUCGGAGGAACACCAGUGGCGUAGGCGCCCAACUGGACAGGUAUUGACGCUGAGGCACGAAAGCGUGGGGAGCAAACAGG